UUUGUAGUAAAAUAAAUUAAGGUUUAUUUUCAGAUUGUUUGCUCAUUUUUCUCAAUACCACUAAUAGAAUUACAAAACAAAUAUAUUCCUGAUACUCAUGCUUUCCCAUUUGAUUGCAAUACAAUAAUGGAAAAUAUACUCUUGUGACUGCUUUUUCCGGUCCGGGGUGAUGUCACAGACACCAUUGUUAUGUUGUGUAAUCAGAACCUUCAGAGACCAUCAUCCUUCUCACCCUGCAGAUGCUGAACACAGAUGAAGGAUGCAGAUGUUGUGGAGGCCAGGAAACAGGAUUGUCCCGUUUGUGCCACAGGGUAGAGAGAGAUUUCUUCUCCAGGGGAAGGGACUCUGCCACAGAAGCGAGAGGCAAAGAAAGUCUGUACGGACUGCAGUGUUCUGAAAACAUAAGCAUCUGGACACAACAGUGCAUGAAUACUGAGUGCUCUAAUGUCAGCUGAAAAAAGAAGAAAGCCCCAUGAUUAAAUAGAUUUUGAGUCUUGCUAAGUAUUACUGAUGUCUCCAUGCAGCCUACAUACUUAAUGGUUGAUUAGAUGUGGACUCCAUCAUUUUCUGUUACUCAGACUUUUUUAUAACUCUAUAGAAACAGCAUUGACCUGAUAUAUCUGGGAAAGGAGAAGAAUGUAACCCAAUUAGAGUAGUUCGUCAAAGCAAAAAUUGCACGGGACAAGGUUAAAUGGGCAAAGAAGACUGGAAUCAAAGGUUUUUCAACAGAGGAGGGAGAGCAGGACUCAGUCUGAACUCAACUCUUCUGAAACAAAGAGCAGUGGGUUCAAUUUGCUGGAAUGAGCUAGCGAAAAAGCAGUGUAGGAUGUGAGGGGAGAAGUUCGUCAGUGGGGUGGGUCCAGCACACUGCAUUAUUCCUGAGUCUGCAAAUGUUUAUCUCUGUGAUUAGGCCAUCUGUGUUUGCUAAUUGUCACUCACUGAAGUUAGGUUCCUACCCUCCCACAGAGACCAGGAGAUAAAAACAUUAUCUUCCUUGAUGAUCACAUUUCAAAAGCAUGGAUUCCAGGUUCUUGAGAAAGACAUUCCUGGGUUGUAAAAGUGGCAAGAGACUUUUAAAAAGAGUUCCACGUAUCUCAAAGACGC
rnacentral:lncRNA from 1 species